ensembl:snRNA U6 U6 spliceosomal RNA
GUGCUCACUUCAGCAGCACAUAUACUAAAAUUGGAACAAUACAGACAAGAUUAGCAUGGCCCCUGUGCAAGGAUGACAUGCAAAUUCGUGAAAUGUUCCAUAUUUUU